AUGUCAAAAAUCCCUAAUCCCUUCCCCCUUUUCCAUUCCCGCUCGUUUUUCAUCUCAUCAAUCUCUUUCUCACUCUCAUUUUCAUCUGCACAGAUCGACUCCACACCGAUCAAACUCGCAAGAUCGACUCCUCACCGAUCGACCUCACUCUCUCAUUGCACCGAUCGAUCUCAUAGAUCGACCUCGCAAGAUCAACUCCUCACCGAUCAACCUCGCAAGAUCGACUCCUCACCGAUCGACUUCAUGGAUAAGCCUCUCUCUCUCUCUCUCUCUCACAUCUCAUCAGAUCUGUUAUUUAUUUGGAAUUAAAUAUGUUCAUUUCUGUUAGGCAAUCAGAUCUGUGUGUGAUUUUGAUGGAGAAGUGUGGGUUGUUUAAUGGAAGAUAUUUGGUUGGUGAGGUGAAGUGAAGUGGGAAAAAAAAGAAAAAAGAAAAGAAAAGAAAAACUUUACAGUUUUUGCUAUCUGAUGCAAACAUUCCCCAUCCAAAGCCCAGAAAGAGAAUCACAUAUUUAGUUGUAGUGAAGUAAAGUAGGUGUUGAUUGCAAUGGAGGUGGAGACAACUGUUGUAAUAUUGGUGGCUAACACAACAACCAUGGUCAUCAUGGGAUGUUGGAAGUGGCAGUGAUGACAAUAUGGUGGUGGUGGAGGCAGCUGUGAUAUUGAUGGUAUGGGGCAGUUUAGGUAGUGUUUAGGGGGCAUCUUGAGAAAAUGGGAAAAUAUUUAAGAAUUGUUUCACAAAUGGGAAAAUAUGGUAUUAUGAAGUUCUUUAUAAUUUUCCUUAACUUAGAAAUCUAGAAACAUCUACAGUUCCGAGCAUGCUUUGAGCUAUUCAAUAACCUCGUUUGGUCAAACUUAGUUUCAGCAUUUUUAAAUUUUGAAACACAUGCUUAAGCGGUUGUACUUAGGAAUCGUAGGGUGUUUGGUGAAACUUUUUGCCUUUUUAGAUUAUUUGUUUUUUCAGCUCAAAAUAAGGCAAUUUUUUUUGAGUUUGGUUUGAGUUUCUAGUGUUUUUCUAUCUUAAACUAUGGGACUCUCUGAUUCUCUAAAUUGGCUCUGCAUAUGUCGUGUGACUUGUGCCUAAUAAAAUAGGGUGGAAGUGGUGGUCUUGGGGCAAAUUUGUAUUAUAAUGGGCCUAUAAAAAAAGUGAAUGGAUCAUGUAAGAAAAGCAACAUCCUAAAACCUCAAUGAAAGUGGAAAACAGCCAUGUCAGGUUUAUUUCGUUAGUUGCUUCACUAUAAUUUCCCAUUCCAUAGUGGUUGUGUUUUUUUU